ACCGAGUGUGUACCACUAGUUCAACUUCGGAUCGAAGUACCCACCUAUAUCAGUGUCGUGCCUAUCUCCGAACUAUACAAGAUCGUCAACCAGACCUACCGAGGGUCCAUCGGGUCAGUGUCCAAUCUACUAAUCCACAAUACACAACUCACAAACCCCACACAUUUUCCAUGGAAUCGAUUUCCCAAAAUUAAUCACCGUAACUCGCUAAAAAUCCCGAAAAUCACACCGG
rnacentral:lncRNA from 1 species